AUUGAACGCUGGCGGCACGCCUAACACAUGCAAGUCGAGCGGCAGCGAGACUAGUAGCAAUACUAGUUGUCGGCGAGCGGCGGACGGGUGAGUAACACGUAGGAAUCUGCCCUUAAGCGGGGGAUAACCAAGGGAAACUUUGGCUAAUACCGCAUAAUCUCGAGAGAGCAAAGCUGCCCGCAAGGGUGGCACUUGAGGAGGAGCCUGCGUCCGAUUAGCUAGUUGGUGGGGUAAUGGCCUACCAAGGCGAUGGGCGGUAACUGGUCUGAGAGGACGACCAGUCACACUGGGACGGAGACACGGCCCAGACUCCUACGGGAGGCAGCGGUGGGGAAUAUUGGACAAUGGGGGCAACCCUGAUCCAGCGAUGCCGCGUGAGUGAAGAAGGCCUUCGGGUCGUAAAGCUCUUUAGGUUGGGAAGAAGGGUAUUGGCUGAAUAAUCCAGUACUUUGACGGUACCGACAGAAUAAGCACCGGCAAACUCUGUGCCAGCCGCCGCGGUAAAAC
rnacentral:rRNA from 1 species